rnacentral:rRNA from 1 species
UACGUAGGUGACAAGCGUUGUCCGGAUUUACUGGGCGUAAAGAGCGCGCAGGCGGUCGAUCAAGUCGAGUGUGAAAGCCCCCGGCUCAACUGGGGAGGGUCAUUCGAUACUGAUCGACUCGAAGGCAGGAGAGGGUAGUGGAAUUCCCGGUGUAGUGGUGAAAUGCGUAGAUAUCGUAAGGAAGACCAGUGGCGAAGGCGAGUUCCUGGACAGUUACUGACACUGAGCACGAAGGCCAGGGAGCAAACGGG